AAUAAAAAAAUAAAAAGCAAUUUCAUUAUUACAGCUUAGAAUACUUUAAAAACUUUCAGAUCAAGAAUUAGAGCCUCAGGAAUAGUGAGGGGAGAGAGGCAAAUGAGAAUAAUCCUGCCCCGACACCACGUCAGCAUUGGCAUGCCAGCACAGAAGCAUAAUGGGCUCAUAGCACCAGUGGUCUCACCUUGAUAUUCCUCCCUCUCUCCACCUGAAGCCUGAGAAUUGGGAAACUGCAAGACUUCCCGGUAGAAGCCAAAACACAAUGCUUGUGCAUAAUGGGGGAGAAACAAACCUUGAAUGAAGGUAAUAUUGUAUUUUAUAUAAAUUAUAGAGG
rnacentral:lncRNA from 11 species